CAGUAGUCACGUAGUUGAUCAGUGCUCAGAACGAACGCUGGCGGCAUGCCUAACACAUGCAAGUCGAACGAGACCUUCGGGUCUAGUGGCGCACGGUGCGUAACGCGUGGAAACCUGCCUUUAGGUUCGGAAUAACUCAGAGAAAUUUGAGCUAAUACCGGAUAAUGUCUUCGGACCAAAGAUUUAUCGCCUUUAGAUGGGCCCGCGUUGGAUUAGCUAGUUGGUGGGGUAAAGGCCUACCAAGGCGACGAUCCAUAGCUGGUCUGAGAGGAUGAUCAGCCACACUGGGACUGAGACACGGCCCAGACUCCUACGGGAGGCAGCAGUGGGGAAUAUUGGACAAUGGGCGAAAGCCUGAUCCAGCAAUGCCGCGUGAGUGAUGAAGGCCUUAGGGUUGUAAAGCUCUUUUACCCGAGAUGAUAAUGACAGUAUCGGGAGAAUAAGCUCCGGCUAACUCCGUG
rnacentral:rRNA from 1 species